GGAGGAAAAGAAACCAACAGGGAUUGCCCUAGUAACGGCGAGUGAAGCGGCAACAGCUCAAAUUUGAAAUCUGGCUUCGGCCCGAGUUGUAAUUUGUAGAGGAUGCUUUUGGUGAGGUGCCUUCUGAGUUCCCUGGAACGGGACGCCAGAGAGGGUGAGAGCCCCGUAUAGUCGGCCACCGAUCCUCUGUAAAGCUCCUUCGACGAGUCGAGUAGUUUGGGAAUGCUGCUCAAAAUGGGAGGUAUAUCUCUUCUAAAGCUAAAUAUAGGCCAGAGACCGAUAGCGCACAAGUAGAGUGAUCGAAAGAUGAAAAGCACUUUGAAAAGAGGGUUAAAUAGCACGUGAAAUUGUUGAAAGGGAAGCGCUUGUGACCAGACUUGCGCCGGGCUGAUCAUCCAGUGUUCUCACUGGUGCACUCGACCCGGCUCAGGCCAGCGUCGGUUCUCGCAGGGGGAUAAAAGCUUCGGGAACGUGGCACCUUCGGGUGUGUUAUAGCCCGCUGCUUAAUACCCCUGUGGGGACCGAGGUUCGCGCUCUGCAAGGACGCUGGCAUAAUGGUCAUCAGCGAC
rnacentral:rRNA from 1 species